rnacentral:rRNA from 1 species
GACGAACGCUGGCGGCGUGCUUAACACAUGCAAGUCGAACGGAAAGGCCCUGCUUUUGUGGGGUGCUCGAGUGGCGAACGGGUGAGUAACACGUGAGUAACCUGCCCUUGACUUUGGGAUAACUUCAGGAAACUGGGGCUAAUACCGGAUAGGAGCUCCUGCUGCAUGGUGUGGGUUGGAAAGUUUCGGCGGUUGGGGAUGGACUCGCGGCUUAUCAGCUUGUUGGUGGGGUAGUGGCUUACCAAGGCUUUGACGGGUAGCCGGCCUGAGAGGGUGACCGGCCACAUUGGGACUGCGAGACGGACCAGACUCCUACGGGAGGCAGCAGUGGGGAAUAUUGCACAACGGGCGGAAGCCUGAUGCAGAAACGCCGCGUGCGGGAUGACGGCCUUCGGGUUGUAAACCGCUUUCGACUGUGACGAAGCGUGAGUGACGGUAAUGGGUAAAGAAGCACCGGCUAACUACGUG